rnacentral:rRNA from 1 species
ACGAACGCUGGCGGCGUGCCUAAUACAUGCAAGUGGAGCGACGAACCAGGGCUUGCCCUGGGGCAGAGCCGCGAACGGGUGAGUAACACGUGGGUAACCUGCCCCGAUGACCGGGACAACCCGAGGAAACUCGGGCUAAUACCGGAUGUGCUCUCCUCACAUCAGUGGGAAGAGGAAAGGAAGCUUCGGCCUCCGCAUCGGGAUGGGCCCGCGGCCCAUUAGCUAGUUGGUGGGGUAAUGGCCUACCAAGGCUUCGAUGGGUAGCUGUUCUGAGAGGAAGAUCAGCCACACUGGGACUGAGACACGGCCCAGACUCC